UACGUAGGGGGCAAGCGUUGUCCGGAUUUAUUGGGCGUAAAGCGCACGCAGGCGGUCUUUUAAGUUUUGAGUGACAGGCGAGGGCUUAACCCUGGCAGGCCUUGGAAAACUGGAAGACUUGAGGGCGAGAGAGGGAUGCGGAAUUCCAGGUGGAGCGGUGAAAUGCGUAGAGAUCUGGAAGAACACCGAAGGCGAAGGCAGCAUCCUGGAGCGUUACUGACGCUGAGGCACGAAGGCCAGGGGAGCAAACGGGG
rnacentral:rRNA from 1 species